rnacentral:rRNA from 13 species
GUUAUAUAGUUAAGUGACUAAGCGCAUACGGUGGAUGCCUUGGCAGUCAGAGGCGAUGAAGGACGUAGUAACCUGCGAUAAGCGUUGGUAAGCUGGUAAACAAGCUUUGACCCAACGAUUUCCGAAUGGGGAAACCCAUCUAACAUAAGUUAGAUAUCUUGCACUGAAUACAUAGGUGUAAGAAGCAAACCCGGAGAACUGAAACAUCUAAGUACCCGGAGGAAAAGAAAUCAACCGAGAUUCCCUUAGUAGCGGCGAGCGAACGGGGAUUAGCCGAUGAUUAUUGAAUUAGUGGAACGCUCUGGGAAGUGCGGCCAUAGUGGGUGAUAGCCCCGUACACGAAGAUUCAAUAGUCACAUAUUAAGUAGGACGGGACACGUGUUAUCUUGUCUGAAGAUGGGGGGACCAUCCUCCAAGGCUAAAUACUCCUGACUGACCGAUAGUGAACCAGUACCGUGAGGGAAAGGCGAAAAGAACCCCUGUGAGGGGAGUGAAAUAGAUCCUGAAACCGUAUGCGUACAAGCAGUGGGAGCAGACUUGUUCUGUGACUGCGUACCUUUUGUAUAAUGGGUCAGCGACUUAAUUUUAGUAGCAAGGUUAACCGUAUAGGGGAGCCGUAGGGAAACCGAGUCUUAAUAGGGCGUUUAGUUGCUGGGAUUAGACCCGAAACCGAGUGAUCUAGCCAUGAGCAGGUUGAAGAUCAGGUAACACUGAUUGGAGGACCGAACCCACUUAUGUUGAAAAAUGAGGGGAUGACUUGUGGCUAGGAGUGAAAGGCUAAUCAAACUCGGAGAUAGCUGGUUCUCCUCGAAAGCUAUUUAGGUAGCGCCUCGUGUAUCACCCUGGGGGGUAGAGCACUGUUUGGGCUAGGGGGUCAUCCCGACUUACCAACCCCAUGCAAACUCCGAAUACCCAGGAGUGCGAUCACGGGAGACACACGGCGGGUGCUAACGUCCGUCGUGGAGAGGGCAACAACCCAGACCGCCAGCUAAGGUCCCAAAGUUACAGUUAAGUGGGAAACGAUGUGGGAAGGCUUAGACAGCUAGGAGGUUGGCUUAGAAGCAGCCAUCCUUUAAAGAAAGCGUAAUAGCUCACUAGUCGAGUCGGCCUGCGCGGAAGAUUUAACGGGGCUCAAACUGUACACCGAAGCUGCGGAUAUCUUUUAGAUAUGGUAGAGGAGCGUUCUGUAAGCUGAUGAAGCUCAAUUGAGAAGUUGGGUGGAGGUAUCAGAAGUGCGAAUGCUGACAUGAGUAACGACAAAGGGGGUGAAAAACCCCCUCGCCGGAAGACCAAGGGUUCCUGCGCAACGUUAAUCGGCGCAGGGUGAGUCGGCCCCUAAGGCGAGGCUGAGAAGCGUAGUCGAUGGGAAACAGGUUAAUAUUCCUGUACUUGUAUAUAUUGCGAUGGGGAGACGGAGAAAGCUAAACCAGCAUGGCGACGGUUGUCCAUGUUUAAGGUUGUAGGCUGAGGACUUAGGCAAAUCCGGGUCCUUAAGGCUGAGAACUGAUGACGAGAUCUCUUUUAGAGAUUGAAGUGGUUGAUGCUCUGCUUCCAGGAAAAACCUCUAAGCUUCAGAUAUAUAGGAACCGUACCCCAAACCGACACAGGUGGUCAGGUAGAGAAUACCAAGGCGCUUGAGAGAACUCGGGUGAAGGAACUAGGCAAAAUGGUACCGUAACUUCGGGAGAAGGUACGCCGAUUUUGGUGAUCAGACUUGCUCUGUAAGCUGAGGUCGGCCGAAGAUACCAGUUGGCUGCGACUGUUUAUUAAAAACACAGUACUCUGCAAACACGAAAGUGGACGUAUAGGGUAUGACACCUGCCCGGUGCCGGAAGGUUAAUUGAUGGGGUUAGCGUAUGCGAAGCUCUUGAUCGAAGCCCCGGUAAACGGCGGCCGUAACUAUAACGGUCCUAAGGUAGCGAAAUUCCUUGUCGGGUAAGUUCCGACCUGCACGAAUGGUGUAACGAUGGCCAAGCUGUCUCCACCCGAGACUCAGUGAAAUUGAAAUCGCUGUUAAGAUGCAGCGUAUCCGCGGCUAGACGGAAAGACCCCGUGAACCUUUACUAUAGCUUCACAGUGAACUUUGAACCUAUUUGUGUAGGAUAGGUGGGAGGCUUUGAAACCAGGUCGCUAGAUCUGGUGGAGCCAUCCUUGAAAUACCACCCUGGUAUGUUUGAGGUUCUAACUCGGGUCCCUUAUCGGGAUCGAGGACACUGUGUGGUGGGUAGUUUGACUGGGGCGGUCUCCUCCCAAAGAGUAACGGAGGAGCACGAAGGUGCGCUAAGCAUGGUCGGACAUCAUGCGGUUAGUGUAAUGGCAUAAGCGCGCUUAACUGCGAGACAGACACGUCGAGCAGGUACGAAAGUAGGUCAUAGUGAUCCGGUGGUUCUGUAUGGAAGGGCCAUCGCUCAACGGAUAAAAGGUACUCCGGGGAUAACAGGCUGAUACCGCCCAAGAGUUCACAUCGACGGCGGUGUUUGGCACCUCGAUGUCGGCUCAUCACAUCCUGGGGCUGAAGCCGGUCCCAAGGGUAUGGCUGUUCGCCAUUUAAAGUGGUACGCGAGCUGGGUUUAGAACGUCGUGAGACAGUUCGGUCCCUAUCUGCCGUGGACGUUGGAAAAUUGAGAAGAGCUGCUCCUAGUACGAGAGGACCGGAGUGGACGAACCCCUGGUGUUCGGGUUGUGUCGCCAGACGCAUUGCCCGGUAGCUACGUUCGGACAGGAUAACCGCUGAAAGCAUCUAAGCGGGAAGCCCCCUUCAAGAUAAGUUUUCCCUGGGAAUUUAAUUCCCCUAAAGAGCCGUUAAAGACUAUGACGUUGAUAGGCUGGGUGUGUAAGUGCGGUAACGUAUUGAGCUAACCAGUACUAAUUGCUCGUGAGGCUUAACUAUAUAACGCCCAAG